rnacentral:tRNA from 1 species
GCCCAGGUGGCGGAACUGGUAGACGCGCGGGACUCAAAAUCCCGUUCGCCCUGGCGAGUGAGGGUUCGAUUCCCUCCCUGGGCA